AAUGAACGCUGGCGGCAUGCCUAACACAUGCAAGUCGAACGAAGCCUUCGGGCUUAGUGGCGCACGGGUGCGUAACGCGUGGGAAUCUGCCCUUGGGUUCGGAAUAACAGUUAGAAAUGACUGCUAAUACCGAAUGAUGUCGUAAGACCAAAGAUUUAUCGCCCAGGGAUGAGCCCGCGUAGGAUUAGCUAGUUGGUGUGGUAAAGGCGCACCAAGGCGACGAUCCUAGCUGGUCUGAGAGGAUGAUCAGCCACACUGGGACUGAGACACGGCCCAGACUCCUACGGGAGGCAGCAGUGGGGAAUAUUGGACAAUGGGCGAAAGCCUGAUCCAGCAAUGCCGCGUGAGUGAUGAAGGCCUUAGGGUUGUAAAGCUCUUUUACCCGGGAUGAUAAUGACAGUACCGGGAGAAUAAGCUCCGGCUAACUCCGUGCCAGCAGCCGCGGUAAG
rnacentral:rRNA from 1 species